GCGUCUGUGGUGCAAUUGGCUAGCGCGUUCGGCUGUUAACCGGAAGGCUGGUGGUUCAAGCCCACCCAGGGGCG
rnacentral:tRNA from 1 species